rnacentral:lncRNA from 10 species
GCUGUGCUGUGCUGUGCUGGGGGAUCCCUUUGUGCCCCCAGUCUUAGGAAAGUCAGUUUUGACUCUCCUAAGCCCACAGGCUGGAACAGCUGAGUCAUGCAAACAGCAAAGAUGGCAGCCUGCCCCUCUCCCUGGGAACUACAUCCCAUCCCAGAAUGACCUCUACGUCCUCUCCAUUUGGCCUUUUCAAUUCACCAUUGAAGACCUAGCUUAGCACAGCUUCUGCUAUGAAAGCCUCCAUGACCUCCCCAAGGAG